CCCCUCGGUGAUGAUGAGCUCGUCAGCAACAUCCUGGUCGGCCUCGACAUGGAGUACAAUCCUCUCGUGUCUGCUCUAAUCGCACGAGUGGAGCCGAUCACGUUCAGCGAACUUCAGGCUCAACUCUUGAGCUUUGAAA